AAUCAGUGUGUGUGUUAGUGGAAGCGUCUGGAAAGGCGUGCGAUACAGGGUGACAGCCCCGUACACAAAAAUGCACAUAUUGUGAGCUUGAUGAGUAGGGCGGGACACGUGGUAUCCUGUCUGAAUAUGGGGGGACCAUCCUCCAAGGCUAAAUACUCCUGACUGACCGAUAGUGAACCAGUACCGUGAGGGAAAGGCGAAAAGAACCCCGGCGAGGGGAGUGAAAAAGAACCUGAAACCGUGUACGUACAAGCAGUGGGAGCACGCUUAGGCGUGUGACUGCGUACCUUUUGUAUAAUGGGUCAGCGACUUAUAUUCUGUAGCAAGGUUAACCGAAUAGGGGAGCCGAAGGGAAACCGAGUCUUAACUGGGCGUUAAGUUGCAGGGUAUAGACCCGAAACCCGGUGAUCUAGCCAUGGGCAGGUUGAAGGUUGGGUAACACUAACUGGAGGACCGAACCGACUAAUGUUGAAAAAUUAGCGGAUGACUUGUGGCUGGGGGUGAAAGGCCAAUCAAACCGGGAGAUAGCUGGUUCUCCCCGAAAGCUAUUUAGGUAGCGCCUCGUGAAUUCAUCUCCGGGGGUAGAGCACUGUUUCGGCAAGGGGGUCAUCCCGACUUACCAACCCGAUGCAAACUGCGAAUACCGGAGAAUGUUAUCACGGGAGACACACGGCGGGUGCUAACGUCCGUCGUGAAGAGGGAAACAACCCAGACCGCCAGCUAAGGUCCCAAAGUCAUGGUUAAGUGGGAAACGAUGUGGGAAGGCCCAGACAGCCAGGAUGUUGGCUUAGAAGCAGCCAUCAUUUAAAGAAAGCGUAAUAGCUCACUGGUCGAGUCGGCCUGCGCGGAAGAUGUAACGGGGCUAAACCAU
rnacentral:rRNA from 1 species